rnacentral:lncRNA from 1 species
GUGUCUAAAUGCUGUGCUGGCUUGAGAAAGAGUCUGUGCACGAGUCAGUCUGUCUUAAAAUACUGCCGUAAAUAUUGUCAUUGGUUCGGUUCUACAGUUGUGUUCUCUUCUUCAUCUCUCUUGGGCUUCCCCUUCUCCUCGUCCUCUUCCCUGAUGGCCUGAAUUUGUUCUGAAGAUGGGUGCAGUGUGGAUUGCUCCGCGCCUUGCUUCUCUGUCCCAGCUAACCUCUCCUCAUCCUCGAUUACUUUCUUCCACAUUUUAUGGUUCUGAAGCAGGUGCUGAGUGAUCUGACAGUAGAUUUUCCUCCUCUUGAACUUCUUCUUUCUGGAUUCAGCAUUUUCACAAGUUUCCAUCUCUGCUGUUUCUUCCUCUUCAUGCUCAUCAGUGUCUCCUGAUUCAUCACUAUCUUCUAUCCAUUUUCCUGGCAUCAACCCUGCUGAGUCAUAGGAGUUACAUAGUGG